GUGCCAGCCGCCGCGGUAAGACGUAGGGAGCGAGCGUUGUCCGGAUUCAUUGGGCGUAAAGAGCGCGCAGGCGGUUUGGUAAGUCGGAUGUGAAAUCCCGGAGCUCAACUCCGGACCUGCAUCCGAAACUGCCCGACUAGAGGUAGGUAGGGGAGAUCGGAAUUCCUGGUGUAGCGGUGAAAUGCGCAGAUAUCAGGAGGAACACCGGUGGCGAAGGCGGAUCUCUGGGCCUUACCUGACGCUCAGGCGCGAAAGCUAGGGGAGCGAACAGGAUUAGAAACCCCAGUAGUCC
rnacentral:rRNA from 1 species